rnacentral:lncRNA from 1 species
GUCUACACACACUCAGUGUAUGUCCUGUGGUGGCGUACACACCUGAGAUUUGAAGGAGAUUUUUAAGGAACUGGGUGUUUUUCUGUGGGAGUGUUUUGGAGUAAAUCAUUUUUUCAUGUUUAUUCUGAAAACAUGGAAUACUGCACUUUAAAAGGAUUCCUUGUGAUUUGGCUUAUAAAGCACUGCACAUCUGAAGACCUCUCUACCUCCAUUCAAUCCUCCACUACAGUCGCCCACCAAGAUGGCCAGACUUUACCACAGGAACCAGGGCUUCCCCCUGCAGAUGUGGUGCCAAUAGUGUCCCCUCCAAGUCUGCAAGAAGUAGAGCAGGCUGUGCAGGAAGCCUCAGAGCAAGCGGAGGGUCGUGGAGCAGAGAAAGUCAUGAAGGAGCUGCUGGAGAGGGUUGUGGAGGCCGCUCUGGGGCAAGCAGAAGGCGGGAAUGAAGCAAAAGUGGAAGCGGUUGAAGAAGAAGAUGAUGAUACUCUGGGGGUGGAAAUUAAAGAAAGUGAAGCUGACGCAGAGGCAGAAGUGAUGAAGGCAGUGGGGGGUGAGACUGUAGGCAUCAAAGAAGGAAAUCCUGGUGUUGGGGAGAAUCAGGAGGCAGAAGAGGUGGAUGCAUUGGAAGAUAUAACUGAGAAGGGGGAAGGAAUUGUUGAGGGAGAGCGUGAAGCAGCAGCUGGGUUAGUGGAGAAAUCCACAGCAGGUGUGGAAAUCAAAAAAGCAGAGGGCAUGGAGGUUAUCGAUGAGUCUUUAGGAGCCGAAAUUAGCCAGGAGGUUGUAGAGGGAGCUGCAGCUGAUUCAGAAGAGACAGGUGGAGAUUCAGCAGUAGAGGAGGCUGGGGAGGAGGACAGCAAGGAAGAAGAAGCAGCAGAAAAUAAGGAAACAGAGAUAAAGGAGGUAGAGGAAGGAAUUGUGGAGGUGGCGGUGGGUGGAGAGGCAAAGCAAGAGACGGGGCCUGUUCUGGCUGAUGUGGAGCAGACAGGACAUGCUUUGGGAACAGAAGACGCUCCAGUAGAAGAGAGUCCAGUUGAAGGAAUGGAAGGGGGUCCAGUAGUGCUGCCUGACAUAGUAACCACACAGACUGUAGAACCAGUAGACGUAGAGGAAAAGGAGGAGGAGGUCAACAUAGUGGAGCAUACAGCAGGAACAGAAGUAGAAGCUGAACAAGGACAUUUAGUGGACAAAGCAGAAGAGAUAGAAGAAGAAGGUGCUGAUAUGGGAACAGCAGGUGCAGAGAGGGAUGGAGGAGGUGUGAACAAGGAGGAAUCAGUGGUAAAUGAAGGGGGUGAUCAAAAAGCAGGAGCAGAGGAGCAGAUUGCUUUGGGAACUAAAGAAGUACAUCAAGAAGAACCGGUGAUCCCUGGCCCAGAGCCUGAAGAUGGUGAAGUCUCUAUAGAGCAGAGCCUUGAGAACCAGGCUCCAACCCCAAACUCAUCCCUCACCGAGGCAGAGACCGGAGCAUAUAGCCCUGAUGGUGGUGAGACAUCUGACCAUGGCAACGAAAUCAUCACCCCAACUGAUGACCUUUUGGCACACGGCCCUGCUGUGGUCCAACCUACGCAGAAUAAUUUUGUGAAAGAUACUCCACCUGAACAUCCUCAGGCAGAAGGAGAGGAACCAGGGGAGGUCAAUGAGCUGGUGGAAGAUACAGCUGGAACUGCAGAGACAAACGAGCUAGGCCUGGAGGCAUGGAAGAUUGGCGCUAUUUCUGCUGCAGUCUUCCUGGUAUUGGAGACUGUUGUCAUCAUUAUCUAUAUCCUCAAAUGUCGCAACAAAAACAGUACCCCAGCCCUACAGCGGGCAUGUGAGGAAGGCUGUGUUGAACCAGAAGCAGCUACAGGAGGCGACUGCAGCGAUGACACACUGCCUGUAGGCAAUGGAGACACCCAACAGAAAGUCGUGCUUGACCCAUCUGAUGUGGCUUCAACCCUGGCCAAUACAAAAGAGCAGCAAGAGGACGAGCAUGUGAUAGCCAUGUCAGACCUCCCACCCGGCUCCACGGAGGAGUCAGCCAAUACUGGACCAGAACCAGACUCCACACAAGACCUCAGGACUUCCUCCAUGCUCUAAGAGGUCCCAACUGUUCCCACUGUGUCUAAUCAAAACCCCCUAAAAAGCCACUUUCCAGCCCUGCGUCCAAAUCGCCAAAUUACCCAGACAGCCAGUGAGUUAGGAUAAAUUCUAACCGAACACAGACUGCCUUGGAUACCGACAAAGUGUGUAUGUGACACAUUUAUAUCGAACGCGACUGUGAGUCUGUCUUUUGUGCGAGUGUGUGUAAAGGAAGAGAUACUGUAACACAUUUAGCAUGUAUGAGUGUGUGAAUGAGUGAACAAGAAAGACAUGUUUUAAAACCCUCUGUGUAUAUGUGUGUGUGUGUGUAAAUGUGAUAAAACUGUCAUGUAUGUAGUUAAAUGUUUUUCUUUUUUCAUAUUGACCACAUCAGUCAUGCUUGUACAAAGCUUCUAGAAAACAAGAUGAAAGGGGGGCGGCAGGCGCAAAUGAUUAUUCUGUUUCUACAGCAGUUCAGUGCAGUUUAUUCAGGCAGUGCUUUAUCUAUCUCAUUAAACUGUACAACACAAGAACAAAUGAUUUUCCAUUAGUUUUAAACUUGAUUCGAUUUGCAUUCUACAUUACUCUUGACCUUUGUAUCAUCAUUUGUGAUGUGAGA